rnacentral:tRNA from 1 species
GGCACUGAGUGGCUCAGUUGGUUAGAACGUGGUGCUGAUAAUGCCAAGGUCACAGGUUCGAUCCCUGUGUGGGUCG